rnacentral:tRNA from 5 species
GGGCUGGUAGAUCAACGGUAGAUCGCACGCUCCGCAAGCGUGAGGUUGUGGGUUCAAAUCCCAUCCAGUCCA